rnacentral:rRNA from 1 species
CAGUAGCCACGGUAAUACGAAGGGUGCAAGCGUUAAUCGGAAUUACUGGGCGUAAAGCGUGCGUAGGCGGUUUGUUAAGUCUGCUGUGAAAUCCCCGGGCUCAACCUGGGAAUGGCAAUGGAUACUGGCAAGCUAGAGUGUGUCAGAGGAUGGUGGAAUUCCCGGUGUAGCGGUGAAAUGCGUAGAGAUCGGGAGGAACAUCAGUGGCGAAGGCGGCCAUCUGGGACAACACUGACGCUGAGGCACGAAAGCGUGGGGAGCAAACAGGAUUAGAUACCCCCGUAGUCCCUGUCUCUUAUAC